rnacentral:rRNA from 1 species
UACGUAGGUGGCGUGCGUUGUCCGGAUUUACUGGGCGUAAAGGGAGCGUAGGCGGACUUUUAAGUGAGAUGUGAAAUACUCGGGCUCAACUUGAGUGCUGCAUUUCAAACUGGAAGUCUAGAGUGCAGGAGAGGAGAAUGGAAUUCCUAGUGUAGCGGUGAAAUGCGUAGAGAUUAGGAAGAACACCAGUGGCGAAGGCGAUUCUCUGGACUGUAACUGACGCUGAGGCUCGAAAGCGUGGGGAGCAAACAGG